rnacentral:rRNA from 1 species
GACGAGCGCUGGCGGCGUGCUUAACACAUGCAAGUCGAACGGAAAGGCCCUGCUUUUGUGGGGUGCUCGAGUGGCGAACGGGUGAGUAACACGUGAGUAACCUGCCCUUGACUUUGGGAUAACUUCAGGAAACUGGGGCUAAUACCGGAUAGGAGCUCCUGCUGCAUGGUGGGGGUUGGAAAGUUUCGGCGGUUGGGGAUGGACUCGCGGCUUAUCAGCUUGUUGGUGGGGUAGUGGCUUACCAAGGCUUUGACGGGUAGCCGGCCUGAGAGGGUGACCGGCCACAGUGGGACUGUGAUACGGCCCAGACUCCUACGGGAGGCAGCAGUGGGGAAUAUUGCACAAUGGGCGGAAGCCUGAUGCAGCAACGCCGCGUGCGGGAUGACGGCCUUCGGGUUGUAAACCGCUUUCGCCUGUGACGAAGCGUGAGUGACGGUAAUGGGUAAAGAAGCACCGGCUAACUACGUG